UACAGAGGUCUCAAGCGUUGUUCGGAUUCAUUGGGCGUAAAGGGCGCGUAGGUGGCGCCGCAAGUCCAUGGUGAAAGCUCGAUGCUCAACAUCGAGUCGGCCACGGAGACUGCGGGGCUCGAGCACUGUAGGGGCAGAUGGAAUUCCGGGUGUAGCGGUGGAAUGCGUAGAGAUCCGGAAGAACACCGGUGGCGAAGGCGGUCUGCUGGGCAGUUGCUGACACUGAGGCGCGACAGCGUGGGGAGCAAACAGG
rnacentral:rRNA from 1 species